UGAAGGCUCUAUGGGUCGUAAACUGCUUUUAUACGGGAAGAAACCCCUCCACGUGUGGAGGGGUUGACGGUACUGUAAGAAUAAGGAUCGGCUAACUCCCGUGC
rnacentral:rRNA from 1 species